rnacentral:rRNA from 1 species
UACGUAGGGUGCAAGCGUUAAUCGGAAUUACUGGGCGUAAAGCGUGCGCAGGCGGUUAUGCAAGACAGAUGUGAAAUCCCCGGGCUUAACCUGGGAAUGGCAUUUGGGACUGCAAGGCUGGAGUGCGGCAGAGGAGACUGGAAUUCCUGGUGUAGCAGUGAAAUGCGUAGAUAUCAGGAGGAAUACCGAUGGCGAAGGCAGGUCUCUGGGCUGACACUGACGCUCAUGCACGAAAGCGUGGGGAGCAAACAGG